CCUACGGGAGGCAGCAGGGGGGAAUUUUGGACAAUGGGGGCAACCCUGAUCCAGCCAUUCCGCGUGAGUGAAGAAGGCCUUCGGGUUGUAAAGCUCUUUCGCAAGGGAAGAAAACUUAUGAUCGAAUAAAUCAUGAGGUUGACGGUACCUUGAUAAGAAGCACCGGCUAGCUACGUGCCAGCAGCCGCGGUAAUACGUAGGGUGCGAGCGUUAAUCGGAAUUACUGGGCGUAAAGCGUGCGCAGGCGGUUUUGUAAGUCGGAUGUGAAAUCCCCGGGCUCAACCUGGGAACUGCGUUCGAAACUGCAAGGCUAGAGUGUGUCAGAGGGGGGUAGAAUUCCACGUGUAGCAGUGAAAUGCGUAGAGAUGUGGAGGAAUACCAAUGGCGAAGGCAGCCCCCUGGGAUAACACUGACGCUCAUGCACGAAAGCGUGGGGAGCAAACAGGAUUAGAUACCCUGGUAGUCCACGCCUAACGAUGUCACUAGUUGUUGGUAGUAGUAAAUACUAUGUAGUAACGUAGUACUACGACGUGAGUUAGACCGCCGUCGGGUAGGUACGGUCGGCGAGAAGUUAAAACGUUAAAACGGUAAAGUUAGUACGGACGUGAGACGUCGCCGACGGACGACGACGAGGGAGGUUAGG
rnacentral:rRNA from 1 species